rnacentral:tRNA from 1 species
GGGGCUGUGGCUCAGUGGUAGAGCAUCUGGUUGGAAUACAGAAGAUCUUGCUCAAUCCUUGGCAUCUUCA